UACGUAGGGUGCGAGCGUUGUCCGGAAUCAUUGGGCGUAAAGAGCGCGCAGGCGGCUUGGCAAGUCGGGUGUGAAAUCCCGGGGCUCAACCCCGUGACUGCAUCCGAUACUGUCAGGCUAGAGGUAGGUAGGGGAGAUCGGAAUUCCUGGUGUAGCGGUGAAAUGCGCAGAUAUCAGGAGGAACAGCCGGUGGCGAAGGCGGAUCUCUGGGCCUUACCUGACGCUCAGGCGCGGAAAGCCUAGGGGAGCGAACAGG
rnacentral:rRNA from 1 species